UCUCGUAUCUUAUACUUAUUCCAAUUCAUUAAAACUUGAUGGCUCUCACUUUGACAUGGUCUUCAAGAUGUAACUCUGGCAUCUUUUUCUGUCAAUGAAAAUGCUACAAUCCUUAGUUUUGAUUAAUAUCAUUAGUAUUUGCUAUUUUAGAUCUCCGUAUUUGUCUUUUUUUUUCUUCAUGUAGUUCACCUUUGGAAAUUCUUUCGAUGAAAUCUAGCAACUGGACAACGCAUUCUAAAAUAUGCUAAUGGAAAACUAUUUGCCGGAGGCCGAUGGCUUUACCAAGCGUUUGCAUCGGGCACUGAUCAGCGUAGUCACACUUUGUCGUUUGCAAGGAGAAAACGCUAUGCAAAAAACUAAAAAGGUCCUCAACAAAGAAAAACAGUCAUCAUUUUUUUUAAAGACCCUCCGAAAGAGAGGCAGACAACAAAGCUGGUGGACACGUGGCUGGCCCCAUCCACUGCGGUUGAUGGCAUGGCAACGACGCAUCCAUAUUUGACGAAUGUCUGGGUAAGACACUUGGCAAAGCCUACGUGUUAAUGGUUUGUUCAUUUCCCUUUUGGGUCAAAUUACGAUGUAAACCAUUUAUUUUUAGUUGAAAUUUUUACUAGGGUUUCAUUUUAGCAAUAAUGUUAAGUAAUGUGGAUUGAAAUCAUCAUUUUUAUUAACAAAUAAUUAUUUAUCAUUUUCUAAGGUUGUUUUAUGGGGGAAAAUAAAAUAAUUCAAAAAAGUUGUCAUAAAUUAACAACUUUUGGCAUGCUGCCAUCUUAUGGGUAUAUAAGCUUGAGCUAUAAGGGAUAAGUCAAUAGAUACAUACUUAACAAAAUUAAUGCAUAUUAUUUUACAUGAUAAAUAGAUAUCAUACUUGUGUGAGUCCUUAGCAUUCAUUCAACAAUAAUCGGAAUUUGCGAGCGCAACGACGCCAGUUGUCAUGGUCUAACAUACCUAUACAGCUGUUCUCGCUAAGUAUUUGUCUUGCCGUCUCUCUCAUCCAUGUCAUCACCCAAGACAUCUUUACUCUUAUAAAAGAACCAAUUGGUGAUGGCGGUCUGUCACCUCGUUUGUUGUAAAGAAAAAACUUCCUCGCCUCUUUCUAUUAUCAAAAAUAAAAUUUGAUCACCUUCUUUUUCUAAUGCAAACAAUGAAACCUAUUUGGGACCAUAUUUUUGUCAAAUGGAAAAAAAAAGAAAAGAAAAACUAUUACAAAAGACUGACACGUGGAUAAUGUUUCUCACCAAAAUUGAAAUUAAAUAGACCGUGCCACUAAUAUGCAAUAGUGAUUUUAGUCUAAUUUAGUGAUUAUUCUAAUUUGUUUUAUCCAUAGCAAGGCA
rnacentral:lncRNA from 1 species